rnacentral:rRNA from 1 species
GGUUAAGCGACUAAGCGUACACGGUGGAUGCCCUGGCAGUCAGAGGCGAUGAAGGACGUGCUAAUCUGCGAUAAGCGCCGGUAAGGUGAUAUGAACCGUUAUAACCGGCGAUUUCCGAAUGGGGAAACCCAGUGUGACUCGUCACACUAUCAUUAACUGAAUCCAUAGGUUAAUGAGGCGAACCGGGGGAACUGAAACAUCUAAGUACCCCGAGGAAAAGAAAUCAACCGAGAUUCCCCCAGUAGCGGCGAGCGAACGGGGAGGAGCCCAGAGCCUGAAUCAGCAUGUGUGUUAGUGGAAGCGUCUGGAAAGGCGCGCGAUACAGGGUGACAGCCCCGUACACAAAAGCGCAUGUGCUGUGAGCUCGAUGAGUAGGGCGGGACACGUGGUAUCCUGUCUGAAUAUGGGGGGACCAUCCUCCAAGGCUAAAUACUCCUGACUGACCGAUAGUGAACCAGUACCGUGAGGGAAAGGCGAAAAGAACCCCGGCGAGGGGAGUGAAAAAGAACCUGAAACCGUGUACGUACAAGCAGUGGGAGCCCCACCACUAAGCCAGUGGUGAACUCCACAUACGCAUCCUUUGCUGAGGAUACGGUUAACGGAGCGAAAGCGACGUUCAACCUCAAAAGAAGCAGAGGGGGCUUAGUGGUGGGGUGACUGCGUACCUUUUGUAUAAUGGGUCAGCGACUUAUAUUCUGUAGCAAGGUUAACCGAAUAGGGGAGCCGGAGGGAAACCGAGUCUUAAC